rnacentral:lncRNA from 7 species
GCGUCCAGGAGGAGCUGAGGGGAUCUGGCAGCCAUUGGAUGUUUUGUGUUCCUGAUGGGAGCAGUGGCUUCUGUGAGCAGUGCCAAUUGUCCAGCUUUCCCAGGGUGUGGAGGAGCAGCAUGAUGGGGCUCCCUGUGCGAGACCAAGGAUUUAAGCUGCUGCUGCUCGGAGUGGUGUGGUUCCCCUUCUGUCUGCAGUAAGCUUGAGGUGGCAGCAGAAGUGGUAGAUUUCAGAUAAUGUCUGCAGGAGAAGAGAACAUGCUUGUGAGUAUCUAACAUCUCUGGCCACCAGCAAUAGCUUACCAGCAGCUUGAGGCCUUUGGGUGCAUGGUAAUGCUAUUCUGUUCCAGGAGCUGGAGCUUGAAAUAAUGCUCUUGAGUGGGGAGGCUUGCUGCUUUGCUCUAUCAAAGGAAACAAAAACUAAAUUGGUAAAUCAGUUUAACAAAAAGUACAAAACAGAAAUGCUUCUGAGCCUCUUUAUCUUAUCGUAAGAGAUGUAUAAAGAAAUAAAAUAUAGUUUUCUGUGUGUGCCUUAGUCACAGCAAAUAGGAUAAAUGAAAACUGAGAUUCUUUAGCAGAACUAGGAUACAGGAGCGAGUGCUUCUAAACAGAAGUCACUCCAAACAAUUUCUUGUUGUUGCAGACUUUACCUUUUGCUGUGUCUUAUUCCUUUACUUUGAGCCUAUCUCUGAGUAACUUUAUCAAAAGAGAUUGUGGAUAUUCUCUAAACAAAGAAGCAGGGCUUUAACUUCUCAUAUCAUUGUGAGUGUAUCUGCCUUAUCAGCUUGCAGAAACUGUUUGUUAACUGCCUUUCCCCUGCAGUGCCAAUAAACUUUCCACUCCUCCUGAAUAAAAGUCUCCUCUGUUCCAUUAACAUUCACAUGCAGAAAGAACUUAACUUCUCAAGAAAGCAAACUAUGUUCAUCAAUAUCUAAGUCAAUAUUCAUCAACAGCUAAUGUAACUAACAAUAUCUAACUAAAAUAGCUACUCUAACUAAAUAUCGAGUAAACUGUAGAGUUAACAAUUACGUGCUUUUCUUUAGAGCAAGGCAACUCAUGAGGUUUGAUGUAAAGACAAAAGAAAUCUGGCACUCACCCUCUAAUGCUUGGAGAUCUGCUCUUCAUCCUCUGCUCCCUCGAAGCUGCUUCAUUUCAGGUACCCUUAUGCAUCUAGAAGAAAGCGAGUAGCUGCAUUGAAGAAUGUUUUCCAAUAUGUACAAGUUUGUACUGAUAUUGAUGGUUAAAUGUUAUUAAUAAAUGGGAAAGAAUAAAUAUUUGUUACAGC